GAUGAACGCUGGCGGCGUGCCUAAUACAUGCAAGUCGAGCGAACAGACGAGGUGCUUGCUCCUCUGACGUUAGCGGCGGACGGGUGAGUAACACGUGGAUAACCUGCCUAUAAGACUGGGAUAACUUCGGGAAACCGGAGCUAAUACCGGAUAAUAUAUUGAACCGCAUGGUUCUUUAGUAAAAGACGGUUUUGCUGUCACUUCUAGAUGGAUCCGCGCCGCUUUAGCUAGUUGUUAAGGUAACGGCUAACCAAGGCAACGAUGCGUAGCCGACUUGAGAGGGGGCUCGGCCACACGGGAACGGAGACACGGUCCAGACUCCUACGGGAGGCAGCAGUAGGGAAUCUUCCGCAAUGGGCGAAAGCCUGACGGAGCAACGCCGCGGAGGUGAUGAAGGUCUUCGGAUCGUAAAACUCUGUGAUUAGGGAAGAACAAAUGUGUAAGUAACUAUGCACGUCUUGACGGUACCUAAUCAGAAAGCCACGGCUAACUACGUG
rnacentral:rRNA from 1 species